GGAAUGGACGCAUUCAAAGCCAUGUGUUUGCCAGCCAUGGUCUGUGGAGUCUGUACUGGAGAAGAAGGAGGGAGCUAUGUUUUAGGAGGGCCAGUCGGAGCUGAGUCUGGGGUGAGGCACCUGCCUGUGGCUGAGGGGCACAACCAUCCAUGCCCUGCACUGGGGACACUGGAGCCACUGGGAUCAUCUGUGCUUGGGUGUCCCACAGAGGGACAGCCCCUGCAGACCUUCCAGUGAUGCUGAUGGCACCUUGUCAGAUUGCUGAAACAUGUUGCAUAUGUCCUGUGAUUCGGCAGUGUGGACAGGACAAG
rnacentral:lncRNA from 1 species